UGGGGAAUAUUGGACAAUUGGCGAAAGCCUGAUCCAGCCAUGCCGCGUGUGUGAAGAAGGUCUUCGGAUCGUAAAGCACUUUAAGUUGGGAGGAAGGGCAGUAAGCGAAUACCUUGCUGUUUUGACGUUACCGACAGAAUAAGCACCGGCUAACCCUGUGCCAGCAGCCGCGGUCAUACAGAGGGUGCAAGCGUUAAUCGGAAUUACUGGGCGUAAAGCGCGAGUAGGUGGUUCGUUAAGUUGAAUGUGAAAGCCCCGGGCUCAACCUGGGAACGGCGUCGAAAACUGGAGAGCUAGAGUAGGGCAGAGGGAGGUGGAAUUGCCUGUGUAGGGGUGAAAUGCGUAGAUAUAGGAAGGAACACCAGUGGCGAAGGCGACCGCCUGGGCUCAUACUGACACUGAGGUGCGAAAGCGAGGGGAGCAAACAGG
rnacentral:rRNA from 1 species